AAGAAUUGCUAUCGGUUACUUCAUCUUUGGAAUUUGCUACACUGAGCCCUUUGCUGGGAUCAGGCACCAGUCCUGAACCAUUUUCCAAAUUGCUAGGUGAUUCAUGAAAUAGUUUCAAAGAUCUAUCCAAGAGAUUAGGCAACUUCCCGUAGUUAUCAAGCGCAGGUUCGUCAUUCUCCUUUCCCUGUGAAUCAAAGGCACGAGAGCCGUUUAAACCCAAAGCACCUAAGUGACUAGUUCCUAAAGAAUUGAACAUAAAAG
rnacentral:misc_RNA from 1 species